GUUCCUACGGGAGGCAGCAGUGGGGAAUAUUGCACAAUGGGGGGAACCCUGAUGCAGCGACGCCGCGUGAGCGAAGAAGGUUUUCGAAUCGUAAAGCUCUGUCCUAUGAGAAGAUAAUGACGGUAUCAUAGGAGGAAGCCCCGGCUAAAUACGUGCCAGCAGCCGCGGUAAUACGUAUGGGGCGAGCGUUGUCCGGAAUUAUUGGGCGUAAAGGGUACGUAGGCGGGUUUUUAAGUCAGGUGUGAAAGCGU
rnacentral:rRNA from 1 species